rnacentral:misc_RNA from 1 species
AACUUUUGACAAUGGCUCUCUUGGCUCUCGCAUCGAUGAAGAACGCAGCGAAAUGCGAUAAGUAAUGUGAAUUGCAGAAUUCAGUGCAUCAUCGAAUCUUUGAACGCACCUUGCACCCUUUGGCAUUCCGAAGGGUAUGCUCGUUUGAGUGUCAUUGUACUCUCACACUCCCGAUCUUGUUGGGAGCGGUGGACUUGGGUGUUGCUGCUUACCGUGGCUCACCUCAAAUGGAUUCGUGCAUCUCUUGGUUGGACAUAGUACGGCGUGAUAAGUGUCUUCGCCGGCGCCUCACUAGAGGGUGGCCGAUCGGGAGCUCUGUGCUUCUAACCGUCUUCGGACAACAACUGACAACUUGACCUCAAAUCGAGUAGGACUGCCCGCUGAACUUAAGCAUAUCAAUAAGCGGAGGCU